CGCACUCCUCUCCUCUCCUCUGCUCCUCGGACCCAAUCUCCUUCUCUCCCUCAGGCAAGUAUCUCUAACGCUCCAAAAUCCUCGCCAUCGUCACCUCUCGUGUGCACAAACCAAUCAAAUUCCUCAAAUUCACAAUCGACGAUUGUGUUAGCUGCUUUCUCUGGUUCAACAAACGCAUCUUCCCUUACUUCUCUCGCCGAAGGCCUACAGAUGUUCGAUUAAUUGCGGACAUGGCCACUUAUUCCGAAAUCAAUAUUGGGGGUUAGUGUUCAGGGUGCGCGGGGGGAUCAC
rnacentral:misc_RNA from 1 species